UACGAAGGGGGCUAGCGUUGCUCGGAAUCACUGGGCGUAAAGGGUGCGUAGGCGGGUCUUUUAAGUCAGGGGUGAAAUCCUGGAGCUCAACUCCAGAACUGCCUUUGAUACUGAAGAUCUUGAGUUCGGGAGAGGUGAGUGGAACUGCGAGUGUAGAGGUGAAAUUCGUAGAUAUUCGCAAGAACACCAGUGGCGAAGGCGGACUUACUGGUCCGGUUCUGACGCUGAGGCGCGAAAGCGUGGGGAGCAAACAGG
rnacentral:rRNA from 1 species